rnacentral:rRNA from 1 species
GAAUUACUGGGCGUAAAGAGCUCGUAGGUGGUUUGUCGCGUUGUUCGUGAAAUCUCACGGCUUAACUGUGAGCGUGCGGGCGAUACGGGCAGACUUGAGUACUGCAGGGGAGACUGGAAUUCCUGGUGUAGCGGUGGAAUGCGCAGAUAUCAGGAGGAACACCGGUGGCGAAGGCGGGUCUCUGGGCAGUAACUGACGCUGAGGAGCGAAAGCGUGGGGAGCGAACAGGAUUAGAUACCCUGGUAGUCCACGCCGUAAACGGUGGGUACUAGGUGUGGGUUUCCUUCCUUGGGAUCCGUGCCGUAGCUAACGCAUUAAGUACCCCGCCUGGGGAGUACGGCCGCAAGGCUAAAACUCAAAGAAAUUGACGGGGGCCCGCACAAGCGGCGGAGCAUGUGGAUUAAUUCGAUGCAACGCGAAGAACCUUACCUGGGUUUGACAUGCACAGGACGCCGGCAGAGAUGUCGGUUCCCUUGUGGCCUGUGUGCAGGUGGUGCAUGGCUGUCGUCAGCUCGUGUCGUGAGAUGUUGGGUUAAGUCCCGCAACGAGCGCAACCCUUGUCUCAUGUUGCCAGCGGGUAAUGCCGGGGACUCGUGAGAGACUGCCGGGGUCAACUCGGAGGAAGGUGGGGAUGACGUCAAGUCAUCAUGCCCCUUAUGUCCAGGGCUUCGCACAUGCUACAAUGGCCGGUACAAAGGGCUGCGAUGCCGCGAGGUUAAGCGAAUCCUUUUAAAGCCGGUCUCAGUUCGGAUCGGGGUCUGCAACUCGACCCCGUGAAGUCGGAGUCGCUAGUAAUCG